UUUGGAAUGUAUAAAAAUUCUCACAAUCUUGUCUAAUCUUGGAAGCUAAGCAAGGUCGGGCCUGGUUAGUACUUGGAUGUGAGACUGCCUGGGAAUACCAGGUGCUAAAA
rnacentral:rRNA from 1 species